UUUUUUUGAGUUGCUCUGUGUAGUGUGUAAUGACAUAUUUUGUUUUUUUGAGUUGCUCUGUGUAGUGUGUAAUGACAUAUUUUAUGGGUUUUUUUUAGUUUCUCUGUGUAGUGUGUAAUGACAUAUUUUAUGUUUUAUUGUGUUGCUUUGUGUAGUGUGUAAUGACAUAUUUUAUGUUUUUUUGAGCUGCUCUGUGUAGUGUGUAAUGACAUAAUUUGUUUUUUUGAGCUGCUCUGUGUAGUGUGUAAUGACAUAGUUUAUAUUUUUUUGAGUUGCUCUGUGUAGUGUGUAAUGACAUAUUUUAUGUUUUUUGAGUUGCUCUGUGUAGUGUGUAAUGACAUAUUUUAUGUUUUUUUAGUUGCUCUGUGUAGUGUGUAAUGACAUAUUUUAUGUUUUUUUAGUUGCUCUGUGUAGUGUGUAAUGACAUAUUUAUGUUUUUUUUAGUUGCUCUGUGUAGUGUGUAAUGACAUAUUUUAUGUUUUUUUUGAGUUGCUCUGUGUAGUGUGUAAUGACAUAUUUUAUGUUUUUUUGUAUUGCUUUGUGUAGUGUGUAAUGACAUAUUUUAUGUUUUUUUGUGUUGCUUUGUGUAAUGUGUAAUGACAUAUUUUAUGUUUUUUUAGCUGCUCUGUGUAGUGUGUAAUGACACAUUUUAUGUUUUUUCAGUUGCUCUGUGUAGUGUGUAAUGACAUAUUUUGUUUUUUUGAGUUGCUCUGUGUAGUGUGUAAUGACAUAUUUUAUGUUUUUUUUAGCUGCUCUGUGUAGUGUGUAAUUACAUAUUUUAUGUUUUUUUGUGUUGCUCUGUGUAGUGUGUAAUGACAUCUUUUAUGUUUUUUUGAGCUGCUCUGUGUAGCGUGUAAUGACAUAUUUUAUGGUUUUUUGAGCUGCUCUGUGUAGUGCGUAAUGACAUAUUUUAUGUUUUUUUAGCUGCUCUGUGUAGUGUGUAAUGACAUAAUUUAUGUUUUUUUGAGCUGCUCUGUGUAGUGUGUAAUGACAUAUUUUAAGUUUUUUUUAGUUGCUCUGUGUAGUGUGUAAUGACAUAUUUUAUGGGUUUUUUUCAGCUGCUCUGUGUAGUGUGUAAUGACAUAUUUUAUGUUUUUUUUAGUUGCUCUGUGUAGUGUGUAAUGACAUAUUUUAUGUUUUUUUUAGUUGCUCUGUGUAGUGUGUAAUGACAUAUUUUAUGUUUUUUUCAGUUGCUCUGUGUAGUGUGUGUAUUGACAUAUUUUAUGUUUUUUUUAGCUGCUCUGUGUAGUGUGUAAUGACAUAUUUUAUGUUUUUUUUUAAGUUGCUCUGUGUAGUGUGUAAUGACAUAUUUUAUGUUUUUUUGAGUUGCUCUGUGUAGUGUGUAAUGACAUAUUUUAUGUUUUUUUAGUUGCUCUGUGUAGUGUGUAAUGACAUAUUUUAUGUUUUUUAGUUGCUCUGUGUAGUGUGUAAUGACCUAUUUUAUGUUUUUUUUAGUUGCUCUGUGUAGUGUGUAAUGUAAUGACAUAUUUUAUGUUUUUUUUAGUUGCUCUGUGUAGUGUGUAAUGACAUAUUUUAUGUUUUUUUGAGUUGCUCUGUGUAGUGUGUAAUGACAUAUUUUAUGUUUUUUGAGUUGCUCUGUGUAGUGUGUAAUGACAUUUUAUGUUUUUUUGAGUUGCUCUGUGUAGUGUGUAAUGACAUAUUUUAUGUUUUUUUUAGUUGCUUUGUGUAGUGUGUAAUGACAUUUUAUGUUUUUUUGAGUUGCUCUGUGUAGUGUGUAAUGACAUAUUUUAUGUUUUUUUUAGCUGCUCUGUGUAGUGUGUAAUGACAUAUUUUAUGUUUUUUUAGCUGCUCUGUGUAGUGUGUAAUGACAUAUUUUA
rnacentral:lncRNA from 1 species